rnacentral:rRNA from 1 species
AUUGAACGCUGGCGGCAGGCCUAACACAUGCAAGUCGAACGUGAAAACUCCGUUCGGGAGUGAGUAGAGUGGCGAACGGGUGAGUAACGCGUAGGAAUCUACCCAAGAGUGGGGACAACCCGGAGAAAUCCGGGCUAAUACCGCAUACGCCCGUACGGGUAAAGGUGGGGACCGUUUCGGGGCCUCAUGCUUUUGGAUGAGCCUGCGUCGGAUUAGCUUGUUGGUGAGGUAACGGCUCACCAAGGCGACGAUCCGUAGCUGGUCUGAGAGGAUGACCAGCCACACUGGGACUGAGACACGGCCCAGACUCCUACGGGAGGCAGCAGUGGGGAAUAUUGGACAAUGGGGGCAACCCUGAUCCAGCCAUGCCGCGUGUGUGAAGAAGGCCUUCGGGUUGUAAAGCACUUUCAGUAGGGAAGAAAUGCCUAGGGUUAAUACCCUUGGGUCUUGACGGUACCUACAGAAGAAGCACCGGCUAAUUCCGUG